GCCAUACUUUCUGCCUGUGGUGUUGGCGGUUGUCGGAGGCAGCAUAUACUGGAUCUGCCUCCUGGAGGGGUCCCAGGUACUCUUCCAUGGGACCCUCCUGGUUAACACACAACGCUCUGGUUGGUCGGGAUGAUCCUGGGGGGUUAUUGUAACUCCGAUGGGUUUGGUGGUGACUGUUGAGAGGGCAGUUCGCCAUGAGAUGUCCUGGUUGCUUGCACCGAAAACAUGUGGGCCGUGGACGUUCGGCCAUGUGGCUAUUGGGUGGUCCUGGGUGCCUGGUAGGUCCUGCUGGCACAGCAGCCCUGAAGUCAGGUCGGGACGGUGUUCGGUAGUUCUCCCGGCUUUCGGUACGGAUCGUCGGUCGGUAGUUGUUGCUUUUGUGCAACCGUUCGUCAGCCAGCCUGGCGGCCUCUGUGAGGGGAGUGGGUCUACGAUCCCGAAGCCAUUCCUUGCACUGCUGAUCUAGUCCAUUGUAAAAAUGUUCCAGAAGAAAUAACUGUAACACCUCCUCACCCGUUACGGCUUGGCAUCCUUUCAUCCAGUGAUCGGUUGCUCUCCUCAUCCGAUGAGCCCAUUCGGUAUGUGUAUCGUUCGUCUUUUUCUUCGUGUUCCUAAAUUGCCUGCGAUAAGUAUCUGGGGUUACGGCAUACCGGUGCAACAAGGUGUCUUUAACCCGGUCAUAUUGGGUCACCCCCUCGGCAGACAGUGUCCAGAAAGCAUCUAGGACUCGGCCCGACAGUUUCCCCGAUAGUAUGGUGGGCCAGUCCUCGCUGGGUAUUCAGUGAAGCGCUCACUGCCUCUCAAAGUUGGCCAGAUAUUCGUCGAUCCCCAUCUCAUUCUCUAGGAAUGAUCGGAAUGCUGCAUGGGGAAUCUUUGGUUUCCCAGUCCACUCUGCCGGGUUAGUUGCAAUCCCUGCAGCGGGGUUUUGCUGGGGGGUGUCCAGGCUGAGCUUGUGUGCUCUGGCCUCUCGGAUCUCCACAUCCACUUGUGCCAUAGUUUGUUGUAUUAGUUCCACGGUCGGGUUCGGGCCGAACCAGGAGAGCCUCUC